AUACGUAGGGAGCAAGCGUUGUCCGGAAUUACUGGGUGUAAAGGGUGCGUAGGCGGCUAUGCAAGUCAGAUGUGAAAUCUAUGGGCUCAACCCAUAGCCUGCAUUUGAAACUGCGUAGCUUGAGUGAUGGAGAGGUAAGCGGAAUUCCUAGUGUAGCGGUGAAAUGCGUAGAUAUUAGGAGGAACACCAGUGGCGAAGGCGGCUUACUGGACAUCAACUGACGCUGAGGCACGAAAGCGUGGGGAGCAAACAGGAUUAGAUACCCUGGUAGUCCACGCUGUAAACGAUGAUUACUAGGUGUAGGAGGUAUCGACCCCUUCUGUGCCGCAGUUAACACAAUAAGUAAUCCACCUGGGGAGUACGGCCGCAAGGUUGAA
rnacentral:rRNA from 1 species